rnacentral:rRNA from 1 species
AGUUACCAGCACGUUAUGGUGGGCGACUCUAAGGAGACUGCCGGUGACAAACCGGAGGAAGGUGGGGAUGACGUCAAGUCAUCAUGGCCCUUACGGCCUGGGCUACACACGUGCUACAAUGGUCGGUACAAAGGGUUGCCAAGCCGCGAGGUGGAGCUAAUCCCAUAAAACCGAUCGUAGUCCGGAUCGCAGUCUGCAACUCGACUGCGUGAAGUCGGAAUCGCUAGUAAUCGUGAAUCAGAAUGUCACGGUGAAUACGUUCCCGGGCCUU